GUCUACGGCCAUGCCACCCUGAACAAGCCCGAUGUCUGAUCUCAGAAGCUAAGCGGGUCGGGCCUAGUUAGUACUUGGAUGGGAGACCACCUAGGAAGACCAAGUGCUGUAGGUG
rnacentral:rRNA from 1 species